rnacentral:rRNA from 1 species
UACAGAGGUCUCAAGCGUUGUUCGGAUUCAUUGGGCGUAAAGGGUGCGUAGGUGGCGCCAUAAGUCGGGUGUGAAAUCUCGGGGCUUAACUCCGAAACUGCAUUCGAUACUGUGGUGCUUGAGGACUGGAGAGGAGACUGGAAUUCAUGGUGUAGCAGUGAAAUGCGUAGAGAUCAUGAGGAAGACCAGUGGCGAAGGCGGGUCUCUGGGCCGAUACUGACGCUGAGGAGCGAAAGCGUGGGGAGCGAACAGG